rnacentral:rRNA from 1 species
CCUACGGGGGGCAGCAGUGGGGAAUAUUGGGCAAUGGGCGCAAGCCUGACCCAGCAACGCCGCGUGAAGGAAGAAGGCUUUCGGGUUGUAAACUUCUUUUAAGAGGGAAGAGCAGAAGACGGUACCUCUUGAAUAAGCCACGGCUAACUACGUGCCAGCAGCCGCGGUAAUACGUAGGUGGCAAGCGUUGUCCGGAUUUACUGGGUGUAAAGGGCGUGCAGCCGGGAGUGCAAGUCAGAUGUGAAAUCCCGCGGCUCAACCGCGGAACUGCAUUUGAAACUGUGCUUCUUGAGUGCUGGAGAGGCAGACGGAAUUCCUAGUGUAGCGGUGAAAUGCGUAGAUAUUAGGAGGAACACCAGUGGCGAAGGCGGUCUGCUGGACAGUAACUGACGGUGAGGCGCGAAAGCGUGGGGAGCAAACAGGAUUAGAUACCCCAGUA